rnacentral:rRNA from 1 species
AUUGAACGCUGGCGGCAUGCUUUACACAUGCAAGUCGAACGGUAACAGGCCGCAAGGUGCUGACGAGUGGCGAACGGGUGAGUAAUGCAUCGGAACGUGCCCAGUCGUGGGGAUAACUACUCGAAAGAGUAGCUAAUACCGCAUACGAACUAUGGAUGAAAGCGGGGGACCGUAAGGCCUCGCGCGAUUGGAGCGGCCGAUGUCGGAUUAGGUAGUUGGUGGGGUAAAGGCUCACCAAGCCAACGAUCUGUAGCUGGUCUGAGAGGACGACCAGCCACACUGGAACUGAGACACGGCCCAGACUCCUACGGGAGGCAGCAGUGGGGAAUUUUGGACAAUGGGCGCAAGCCUGAUCCAGCAAUGCCGCGUGCAGGAAGAAGGCCUUCGGGUUGUAAACUGCUUUUGUACGGAACGAAACGGCUCUGGUUAAUACCCGGGGCUAAUGACGGUACCGAAAGAAUAAGCACCGGCUAACUACGUG